rnacentral:rRNA from 1 species
GACAGAGGCCUCAAGCGUUAGGCGGAAUCACUGGGCUUAAAGCGUGUGUAGGCGGAUCGUUAAGUGUCUUGUGAAAUCCCACGGCUCACCCGUGGAACUGCUGGGCAUACUGGCGAUCUUGGGCCAACUAGGGGCGACUGGAACAAGCGGUGGAGCGGUGAAAUGCGUAGAUAUCGCUUGGAACGCCAACGGUGAAAACAGGUUGCUGGGGUUGUGCCGACGCUGAGACACGAAAGCCAGGGGAGCGAACGGG